GCGGGCGUGGCGGAAUUGGUAGACGCGCAGCGUUGAGGGCGCUGUUUUCUUUUGAAAGUGGAAGUUCAAAUCUUCUCGUCCGCACCA
rnacentral:tRNA from 1 species